GCCCUUCUUGUGCUGGGAACCCAGAACUAUACAUGGAGUCACAGGAGAAUGGAAUCGCUUUGGAUAGCAUUUCACCCCUCCUGCAUAUCUACUCCAUCACAUAGGUACCUAUUCACCUGUACAUUUAUGGAAGUCUUGGGAUCUGUCCCUUCCGGGUGAGACGGUCUCUUACUGCCUUGCAGUGGAUGCUGGAGGGUGCUUUCCAAGCUGUUCCAAGCUCUUCAGGUUUGACUUGGUCUCAGGAGCUCUCUCUCCUAUUUUAUUUGAUUUAUUAGUCUCAAAUUCAACUAGAUUGUAUUAUAUUGUGUUAUCUUGCAUUCCAAUAUCAUAGUUAGUAAAAUAAGGUUUCCUCCAUAGAUUGUUGCCACUGUUUUUUUUUCCUUUCUUGAGCCAAGCUCCCAUCUUUCUAACCCUUUUCCCUUUCCUUUCCCGUUUUGUGGUACCAGGGGAGGCCCAGGUGCCUUCUGCCCAGCUUCCAUGGGCAUAGAUUGAUUUAAUUAUUCUGUGACAGCACUCAACCCCACUGUCUGUCACCAACAAAAAUGUUGAAUAGUGUCAGUACCAAUACAUACCACCAAGAAUCUCCAUCACUGCUGACCUCCACCUGGACAUAAACACUUUGACUACUACUCUUUGAGUGUGAAUACUGAAUCAAUUCCUUACUCACCAAGUGAUCUGUCCAUCAAAUUCAUGUCUCUUCAAUGUAGAGACAAGAAUGUGAUGCAAGAUAUUGUCAAAUGCUUUACACAAGUCUAGUGAGAUAACAUCAGUUCUUCUAAUGUUAGACUGUAAAAAUUGUUAUUGAAGUAACAAUGUUUUGCUACUUGUUUUAAAACAGAUAUUCAAAAAGCAACAAAAGAAAAACAAGAUUUGUGUCUUUGCAGUUAUGUGCCACCUCAUCUGUGGUACAGAACAUUUGUUAACAAACAGUCCUUUUCACUGUGUACUCAACAGAGUAGUGUGUAUGUGUAAUCAGCUGUACAAAGCAAUGAGAAGUGAAUUCUUAAAUAGUGAACUUUUGAGAUAUGUCUGGAACGUGACAUGAAAAUAGAUAAUGAAGUACGCAAACAUGCUUUCUUGCAUACACAUGGCUCGUUCCACCUGGAUAACAGAGUUAACAUCACAGUUGGCCUUAUUAAUGCAUUUUCUGAGCACUGAUGGGCUCAAGUUAAUGCUUGGCAUAAACUGGAUGAGCUUUAGAUGUAUUUUAAUUUGCAUUGCCAAGCACUGCCUUUCAAACUGCUAAUCUUAAAGCCAGGACUGUUAGAGUAGAUUGUGAAAUGUCCUUUUCCAAGUGCUGUAACCUGUUUGAGUUGCUAAGGGGAGACAUUGCCUUGAAGAAAUGCUAGAGGGGUGUGUAACAUUAUAAAUAUUACCUAGACAUAAUGCAACAAUGAUCCAAAUCUGUUAGCAAUACUUCAGUUUUUUUCAGUAGUCUGGUAAAAGAAAACAAAUAUACGAACCAAUAUUUUAUUGAGGCAAACCUUGAUUUACAUUCUCAGUGUAUUCAUUAGAGUAUUCACAUAUAUGAAGAAUACUAAAAAUGCAUUGUAUGUAUAUAUAUAUACAGUUAGUAUAAUCAUGCAGAAAUCCUAGUUAUUUUCUGUUUGAAAUAGUAUAUACAUGCAAACAGCAUGUAUUAGUACCCUACUAAUUUGUAUCCUCUGAACACUGGAUUCAUAUAUAUAGUCCCAUUCUUUUAUCAUGAAAUAUAUGUGUAAAGAUCUUUUUGAGACAGUUUACAACAAUGAUACUUGUUUGAGAGUAGGCACUUCAUGUAUGUCUUCAGAUUUUAUGUUUUAAUCCUAAUUGCUGUAAAGAACAGUAAGAUUUAUAAUCAUCAAUUACAUGAAUAUGGAAAAUCUGUUAACACUGGCUUAGAUCUAUUUGAUAUAAACAAGAAUCCCACAUUUUCUUAAAGAAAACAGUGUUUUCUAAUAAUUAUAUAUGUUUCUCUCAUUUAACUACCUGCUUCAAAGUGGGGAAUGAUAUAGUAUGAUCUUUAGGCUGUACUAAUUUCAUGUUUCACCAAUUUUGUUCUGUGGAGAUUUCUCUUAUUCUAUUUGCUCCCUGCACUUUACUUUGUUCUUUUUUCACAACUAAGGACUUUCAUAGAAUCUAGCGUCUCUCACCUCUGCAUCAUCAUUCUCAGUACAAGCCACUGCUCUUUUAUUGCUAAUGCUUUCUCUUACCUUGUCCUUGGUACAACCUCUCUUGUUUGAUCUUUAUAACUGAAGUUUACAGAGAUAGUAAAAUGUAAUGGAUGUAUUCUAUCAGUCUUGUAAAUAAUUUUAGUUUUAAUUUAGGACAAUGAGGAAUAAAGGCAUUUAUUUGGCUAUCAAUUCAAACUCACUACUAAUUGUUGAUUAAACUGUCUUUUCAAAUGCUUUGUGCAAACUGUCCAUGAACAGCUUUAUAGCUUGGAAUAGAAAUCACUUGACCAGGACUGAUGAACAACAGGGAAUGACACAGAAGUUUUGGCUUUUCUAGAAGAAUCAAAGCAGCAGAACUAUGAAAACUGAAAUCUCUGACACUGAAAAACAAUAAAACUAAGGAUUCAUAAAGUGGUGAAAAUAAGACACUAGUGAAUUUAGCCAAAAUGCAGAAAAGGAAUAAGCUUAAGAAACCUGAAAUAUGAUGAAGAUAAUGAAAAUAAGAAGGGAAAUAAUUAUUUUGAGAACUGGAAAAAUAGGAGGUUAGAAACAAAAUACAGAAAUAUACCUCUGUAUCAAUAUUUUGUCUAA